GAUGAACGCUGGCGGCGUGCCUAAUACAUGCAAGUCGAGCGAACGGACGAGAAGCUUGCUUCUCUGAUGUUAGCGGCGGACGGGUGAGUAACACGUUGAUAACCUACCUAUAAGACUUGGAUAACUUCGGGAAACCGGAGCUAAUACCUGAUAAUAUUUUGAACCGCAUGGUUCAAAAGUGAAAGACGGUCUUGCUGUCACUUAUAGAUGGAUCCGCGCUGCAUUAGCUAGUUGGUAAGGUAACGGCUUACCAAGGCAACGACGCAUAGCCGACCUGAGAGGGUGAUCGGCCACACUGGAACUGAGACACGGUCCAGACUCCUACGGGAGGCAGCAGUAGGGAAUCUUCCGCAAUGGGCGAAAGCCUGACGGAGCAACGCCGCGUGAGUGAUGAAGGUCUUCGGAUCGUAAAACUCUGUUAUUAGGGAAGAACAUAUGUGUAAGUAACUGUGCACAUCUUGACGGUACCUAAUCAGAAAGACACGGCUAACUACGUG
rnacentral:rRNA from 1 species